AUGUUGAUUACUGAAGCUGGCUAUCUAUGUCUCAAUAAUGGUAAAAAAACCUUUAAAGGUGGGUCCAACUCCCAGGGAUCAGUUCCUGACCUAACUUUCUCAGCAACGUGUCUGGGGGUAACUGGAAUGUUCUGGAUGGACAUUUUGGGGGCAGCCGUCAUCUACCAAUUACCUUUGAAAUUAAAGCGGAUAAGCCUAAAGGCCAGAACUUCUUACACAAAGCAAAAUUAAUGAAAGCACUGGUGAGUUAGAGCUAGAACCUGACAUGCUAGCUAUAGAGGAUGCAAUAAGUUCAGAAAUAAAAGCUGCAUCUAACAAUCUAAGUGCCAAUAGAUCACCCAAGUAUUGGUGGAAUGAUUCCUUGAGUGUUGCUUACCGAAAUCAACUUGCAGCUUUAAAGAAAGCAAGGAAAUAUCCUAAUUAUCAAAACUAUCUAAAGCUAGUCAAGAGGUAGAGAAUUGGAAAAUGAAGGUCAAAACGGCAAAAAAUGAUAGUUUUCUCUCCAAAAUCAAUGAACUUAACAGAAAUGCAAAUCCAAGAGAAGCUUGGAGAUUUGUUAACAAUGUAAGGAACAGAGAGUCUGCGGAGGCGAGACCAUGGAAUAAUGACCGGAGCGGUCACUUUCUUCAGUAUCUCAAAGACCAAGUACCUGGUGAUUUGCUAGAAGUACCUAGCUAUAGUGAUCAACACAAUUUCCAGGACAAAAUCAUUUUUGACUUUGAUCACUUUGAGAAAAUAUUAUCGGAAAAGAAAAAAGGGUCUGCCGGAGGGCAUGACAAAAUAACAUACGAAAUGAUCAAGGCGUUACCCGGCAUUUCUAAAAGAGCUAUUCUGACAGCUCUAUAUAAUGCCUUUUAGAGAACUCAAUCAAGGACAACUGGAGGAUUAUUAAAAUAGUCCCAAUUCCAAACCUAACAAGGAUUUAACCGACAUGUCAAAUUAUCGCCCAAUAUCUCUCAUUUCUGUCUUUAUGAAAGUCAUCAAUCUAAUGCUUAAAGAUAAGCUAGUACAAUUCAUUGAUGAUAAGGAAGUUAUUCCAGCGAGAUCUUUUGCAUAUAGGAAAAGUAGGUCUACAUCUACAUGCUUAAAUGAAUUCCUUCACCGCGUUGCACUGCUAAAGGCCAACAACUAUAAAGUACUAGUUCUGUCGUUGGAUAUAAAUAAUGCCUACAACUGCGUGAGAGUGGAUAUUCUCGGGCAAAUCUUGAGAAAGCUCAACUUCAACGGAUCAAUUGUGAAUUGGAUAAUAAACUUUCUAUCAAAAGGAUUCUGAGACUGGGUGACAAAGAAGUUGUGGUGAAAAACGGCUUACCACAAGGAAGCUGUCUAUCUCCUCUGCUCUUUAACAUCUACACAGCAAAUCUUCAUAAAUUGGAAGAUAAUAAAACAUUAAUUUUCAAUAUGCAGACGACUUCCUUUUGAUGGUCUUUGAUCACGAUUUUGACAUGGCUUUACAACACCUACAAACUAAGGCAGUGGCUUUUCAAAGGAAAUGCGGUAAUAUAAAUCUAUCCUUCAAUCCAGAAAAGUCGAAGACGAUUUAUUUUGCUAAAAUAGUACCAAACAAAUUCUACUAAACGUAGAUGGAUGUAGAAUAGAACAGGUGAAAAAAAUGAAAUUUUUGGGCAGAAUUAUCUCAAAUUCCUUAUCGGUCAAAGAUCACUAUUCACAUAUCAAGGAUCCAGUAAGCAACAGAACCAGACUGCUCAAAUGCCUUACCCCCCCUAAAGGAGGCCUACAUCCAAAAGUGUCUCUGAAUUUAUACAAAAGCCUUGUGAGAGCGAAAGUAGACUAUGGUAGAACUACGACUGCCAACUCACCAAAAUAUGUCAAUAACAAUAUCGAAAGACUUCAAAAUGAGAUGAUAAGAAGAUCCCUGGGGGUUAGUAGAUCGACACCUAAUCACGUUAUAUAUGCCCUAGCUGGAGAAUUGCCUCCUAAGUAUAGAGCCAAACUCCUCACCGCAAAGGAGAUACUUAAGAUCAAGCUGGAAAAUAAUGACUUAUCUGACAUAAUUGAAACAACCCUCUCGUCAAAUCAAGCUACAGCGUCAUCUAUCAUCAAUUUGAAUACAUCUUUAGAAAAAUCAAGAUUACUUCAUACAAAAAUCAAAGAAACCUGACGAUGCCUCGGUAAACAUUGAGUCCACUGGAUGCGGGGUUUACAAUGCUACAAAAGACUUCAAAUUCCUUUUCAAAAUUGACUUCAAGGCCUCGUCAAUGUUUGGAGAACUUUUUGCCAUAAAAAAGGCUCUGGAAAUUGCGACUGAGGACGGUUAUAACAGAUGUGUUAUUUUCACAGAUAGCCUUACAGCGUGCAAGGCUUUAAAUUCAGCUGAUUCGACAAAUUAUCUGGUUGCUGAAUGUCACAAUAUUUUGGAAAGAUCCUCUAUUGAAAAAUGUCACAUUGUCUGGAUCCCUGCGCACAGAGGCAUUAGAAUCAACGAAGAGGUUGACUUGCUAGCCAAACAGGCCUCUCUAGUUGGUGCUCCUGUAGAGGUAUUUUUAACACCUGAAGAGGCGUAUUCCAGAAUCGAAAAUCUGGUGAAAGAUGACUGGAAUGAAGAAUUUAUAAGACUAUCCGAAUCAAAAGGCAGUCACUUCUUUCAGAUUAUAAACAACAUAUAUGAAAAGCCAUGGUUUUCAAAAAUGAAUUUUGAGUCUAGCAAUACUAAGCUAAUAAACAGACUGAUUACCGGCCAUACCAGUGACAAAAAGUAUUUACACCGGAUAGGAGCUGCAGACUCGAACUUGUGCGAGACAUGCGCAGCGCAGGAAACCGCUCACCACUUGAUUUUUGAUUGCGUAAGAUUCAACAACAUAAGGAAAAAAUAUCCCCUCCUGUUCCCUAAAUACCAUGGACUAAUCCCUUUACUGCAAUCCAAAGACCACAACCUAUACAACCUUCUCCUAAUGUUCCUGAAAGAAACCAAAAUCAGUUUAUGAACACUUUCUAUCAUCUGUGAUAAACAAAGCUGUGAUAUUAGUUUUAAGUUUUGUUUUUUUUUUUCCUUCUUUUUUUUUUCUUUCUUAUUUUUAAUGGAUGUUGACUAAUUGAUAUUAUCCCAUCCCAUUCCCCACUUUUGGCCCUUUAUUUUCCUUGUGCAAUUUGCAGACAGGAAUUCUAACCUUUGGAUCACAACUGGACUCACAAUUGGGAUAUUCCUGAUCGCUUGGACCUCAUAGCUGCUGAACGGGCACAUUUUGUCUUUUUACGUCUGUGGUGUCCUGCAUCUGUCACGCAAGUAAAACUACCUCUCAACCAGGUGUCGUGAGUUAAAAACCUUUUCAUAUAAAUAUUACAAUAUCAAAUAAGCAAACAAAAUUGAACUACAAUUCGACAUUUGUACUUAUGUACUAUCGUUUUCUUUUUACACCAUUUUUAUACUGUAUUUGCAGUAAUCGGAAAAUUUAUAUGGGCAAUCCAUUUUGCAACAAACGCUCAUUGGUUUGUAAUCGUUUUCAAGAGUGGCCAACUAUUUUGGAAAAUAAAAGCAUUGGACUGGACUUUGCAAUCCAUGUUGGGAUAAACGCUGAUUGGAUUGUAAUCGAUUUCACUAGUGACCUACCAGUUGGGAAAAUAAAUUCUUUGGAGUGGAGUAAUUUGGCGAAUCAUUUUGAAAAAUAAACUUAUUGGACUUGAGGUGACUUUCUACAAAUUUACCUUAAUUUGGAGUACAACCUGGCUUUUUGUAUCCUGAGGAUCGCCAACGCUCUCUACAACAUAGGAGAGCUCGCUUGACAGUCCAAAAAAAAAAAAAAAAAAAAAAAACAUAUUU